AGCGGCGGAUGGGUGAGUAACACGUGGGGAACCUGCCCCUAAGUCUGGGAUACCAUUUGGAAACAGGUGCUAAUACCGGAUAAUAAAGCAGAUCGCAUGAUCAGCUUUUGAAAGGCGGCGUAAGCUGUCGCUAAGGGAUGGCCCCGCGGUGCAUUAGCUAGUUGGUAAGGUAACGGCUUACCAAGGCGACGAUGCAUAGCCGAGUUGAGAGACUGAUCGGCCACAUUGGGACUGAGACACGGCCCAAACUCCUACGGGAGGCAGCAGUAGGGAAUCUUCCACAAUGGACGCAAGUCUGAUGGAGCAACGCCGCGUGAGUGAAGAAGGUUUUCGGAUCGUAAAGCUCUGUUGUUGGUGAAGAAGGAUAGAGGUAGUAACUGGCCUUUAUUUGACGGUGAUCAACCAGAAAGUCACGGCUAACUACGUGCCAGCAGCCGCGGUAAUACGUAGGUGGCAAGCGUUGUCCGGAUUUAUUGGGCGUAAAGCGAGCGCAGGCGGAAAAAUAAGUCUAAUGUGAAAGCCCUCGGCUUAACCGAGGAACUGCAUCGGAAACUGUUUUUCUUGAGUGCAGAAGAGGAGAGUGGAACUCCAUGUGUAGCGGUGGAAUGCGUAGAUAUAUGGAAGAACACCAGUGGCGAAAGGCGGCUCUCUGGUCUGCAACUGACGCUGAGGCUCGAAAGCAUGGGUAGCGAACAGGAUUAGAUACCCUGGUAGUCCAUGCCGUAAACGAUGAGUGCUAAGUGU
rnacentral:rRNA from 1 species